rnacentral:lncRNA from 1 species
AUUAAAUGGCAUCUAAAUUGUUGUUUCUAAGCUUGGUCUUGGUGUUAGCAAAUGUGGUAGAAGUUAAAGGCGGUGGCAUGACCCUAAUAACUCAUGUGAUCAAUGGAUUGAGCAACACAGAGCUCUUCAUUGAUUUUUGUGCUCCAUCCCACACAGUGAUCAAGAAGGGUGAGGACUAUAAAUCUAAGGUACAGAACACAAGCGCCGUAUUAACAUGUUUCAUUCAAAAAACGGAAGAUUGGCAGUCAGUUUAUGCUGAUAUUUACGAUCCGAUCCGAGAUAAAGGGCGAGAAGCCAUAUAUUGGAAGGCUGACGAGAUCGGAGUCUCUUUCAGCUAUGACAACACUAAUUAUAAGCGGGACG